rnacentral:rRNA from 1 species
AUUGAACGCUGGCGGCAUGCCUUACACAUGCAAGUCGAACGGCAGCACGGGAGCAAUCCUGGUGGCGAGUGGCGAACGGGUGAGUAAUAUAUCGGAACGUGCCCAGUCGUGGGGGAUAACGCAGCGAAAGCUGUGCUAAUACCGCAUGCGAUCUAUGGAUGAAAGCGGGGGAUCGCAAGACCUCGCGCGAUUGGAGCGGCCGAUCUCAGAUUAGCUAGUUGGUGGGGUAAAGGCCCACCAAGGCGACGAUCUGUAACUGGUCUGAGAGGACGACCAGCCACACUGAAACUGAGUCACAGACCGAACUCCUACGGGAGGCAGCAGUGGGGAAUUUUGGAAAAUGGGCGCAAGCCUGAUCCAGCAAUGCCGCGUGGAGGAUGAAGGCCUUCGGGUUGUAAACGGCUUUUGUACGGAGCGAAACGGUCUGCCCUAAUACGGUGGGCUAAUGACGGUACCGUAAGAAUAAGCACCGGCUAACUACGUGCCAGCAGCCGCCGUAA